AGCUCAGUUGGUAGAGCGGAGGACUGUAGUUGACGCAGAUAAUCCUUAGGUCACUGGUUCGAAUUUGGUAGGUCGGAUCAUUAAAAUUGAAAGUU
rnacentral:sRNA from 1 species